UACGGGGGGGGCAAGCGUUGUUCGGAAUUACUGGGCGUAAAGGGCUCGUAGGCGGCCAACUAAGUCAGACGUGAAAUCCCUCGGCUUAACCGGGGAACUGCGUCUGAUACUGGAUGGCUUGAGUUUGGGAGAGGGAUGCGGAAUUCCAGGUGUAGCGGUGAAAUGCGUAGAUAUCAGGAGGAACACCGAUGGCGAAGGCAGUGUUCUGGGCCAGUACUGACGCUGAGGAGCGAAAGCGUGGGGGAGCAAACAGG
rnacentral:rRNA from 1 species